rnacentral:rRNA from 1 species
UGGCGAACGGGUGAGUAACGCGUGGGUGAUCUGCCCUGCACUUCGGGAUAAGCUUGGGAAACUGGGUCUAAUACCGGAUAGGACCAUCGUUUAGUGUCGGUGGUGGGAAGUUUUUUCGGUGUGGGAUGAGCUCGCGGCCUAUCAGCUUGUUGGUGGGGUAAUGGCCUACCAAGGCGUCGACGAGUAGCCGGCCUGAGAGGGUGUACGGCCACAUUGGGACUGAGAUACGGCCCAG